rnacentral:lncRNA from 1 species
UUAGCUUUACCUCACAGUUUGGAGAAUUUCAUCUUCUCUGUUAAUUAGUAAAUGGACAACAUUUUAAGACAUGCCAUUCCUCUGAAGUCAAAGUUCAAAUAGGACAUUCACAGUCAGGUUGCCCAAUUUUCAAGUGUUGAGUCAUGCCGGCUAAAGGGCAGGAGGGCACAGAGGUAGAAGACUUGGACUGGUACCUCAUGCAGGUCAUGUGAAUAGCGUUCACUCUAUUCUAGAACUGGAGAGCUCCUUAGGUCCCUCUGUCAGAAUUUCUAACCAAUGGGAAUGAGAAAAAUUCUAACUGGCCCUGUUAAUUCAGAGGGAGAAAAACGUUUGGAAUGUUAUUUGUGGAACUGUAACUGUGACCUCAACUCAGUACAACAUGCCCAGGCAGGAUAUCCUGCACCGGUGACCUCAACACUCUGCCAAGAAGAAAGCCAUCAUGACAUGCAACCCUUUGAACUUGGCCCAUUAGAACUGAUUAUGGGUGACCAUCUCCAAACAGCAAAAAGUUACAGAGGAAAUUUCAUCUGCAAGGAGGAGAUAAAAAGGAAUCACGUCUGUAUUUACAAAAGGAAGACGGGAAAUAGAAAUGGAAAAAGGGCAGACGUCAGCAAUGUUUGUCUCCUUUUAAUUUGUUUCUGGAUAAUCUUUCCUGAAAUUUGA